GGGUGAUGGCGAGCGGGCGCUCGCUGUUCGUGCCGGAGACCGACGCGAUCGUGGCGGGCAUCGCCCGC
rnacentral:tRNA from 1 species